GGGGAUGUAGCUCAAUGGUAGAGUGUUUGCCUUAUACCAGGCAAGCCCUGGGCUCCAUCCCCAGCACCACCA
rnacentral:tRNA from 1 species